rnacentral:pre_miRNA from 12 species
GUGGAGACUUGUAGGUUCUCCGCAGUUCUGCCAGGAAGCCCUGAUAAUUAUUUCGCAGGGGGCUGUCGGGCUGCAUGUGGGGGAUGGCCCACUGCUCUGCCUCCCCAGUCA